UACGUAGGGAGCGAGCGUUGUCCGGAUUUAUUGGGCGUAAAGAGCUCGUAGGCGGUUUGGUAAGUCGGGUGUGAAAGCUCCGGGCUCAACUCGGAGAGGUCACUCGAUACUGCCAUGACUUGAGUCCGGUAGGGGGGUGUGGAAUUCCCAGUGUAGCGGUGAAAUGCGCAGAUAUUGGGAGGAACACCAAUGGCGAAGGCAGCACCCUGGGCCGGUACUGACGCUGAGGAGCGAAAGUGUGGGGAGCAAACAGG
rnacentral:rRNA from 1 species